UACGAAGGGGGCUAGCGUUGCUCGGAAUUACUGGGCGUAAAGCGCACGUAGGCGGCUUUUUAAGUCGGAGGUGAAAUCCUGGAGCUCAACUCCAGAACUGCCUUCGAUACUGAAGAGCUCGAGUCCGGGAGAGGUGAGUGGAACUGCGAGUGUAGAGGUGAAAUUCGUAGAUAUUCGCAAGAACACCAGUGGCGAAGGCGGCUCACUGGCCCGGUACUGACGCUGAGGUGCGAAAGCGUGGGGAGCAAGCAGG
rnacentral:rRNA from 1 species